rnacentral:lncRNA from 1 species
AAUGCCACCAAUCGAUUAAAAUUGCUAAAUUUUUAAAAAUGAAAAUAAGUGCUAGGUGAGAACAUGAAGGAGCUAGAAAUCUGGUAUAUUGCUGGUGUGAACAUAAAAGGAUACUCUCCUUUGAAGAGAAAUAUGACAUUUCCUUGUAAAGAGGACAUACGACACAUUAAUUUUUCUCCUAGGUGUUUAUCCCCGCAAAUAAAAAAUAUAUAUCCACACAAAGACUUGUACAUGAAUGUUUAUGAUAGCUUUAUUUAUAAUAGUCCAAACCUUAAAACAACCAAAGUGUACAUCAGCAGGAAAAUGAGUAAACAAAUUGUAAUUUAUCUAUACAACUGAAGACUACUUGGCAAUAAAAAUGAUUUACUGAUUAAUGCUACAAUAUGGAUAAAACUCUAAAAUAUUAUGCUGAGCAAAAGAAGUAAACACCAAUGAGGACCUAUUAUAUGAUUCCAUUGAGAUGAAACUCUAGAACACAAAUCUAACCUGUAGUUACAGAAAGCAGAUUAGAUUUUACCUGGGGAUAGGAAUGGGAACUUGACAGAGGAAAGACGCAGGAAACUUUUUGGGGGUUAAUGGACAUGUGUUUUUUUCUUAAUUGUAGUGGUGGUUAGACAGGCAUGUACAUUUGCCAAAAUUCAUCAAAUUAUAUGAUCAAAAUGGGUGCAUCUGAUUAUGUAUAAAUCAUAUCUAAUAAAACUGAUUUAAAAACUUUUUAAAUAAGACAUUACACAAAAUAUUAACACUUCUUAAUUUUGAAUUUUGAGUGUUGUAUCAUUUAGAAUCCUAGCAAGAAAUGUAUGGCAACCUCACCUGGAAAUUGAAGAAAUUUUAGUGAAGAAACUAUUAAAGAGGUAUGGACAGAAUGAAGAAAACCAACCAGUGUUUUGAGGUACUGGCGGACUUGCAACAACAGGAUGCUCUUUCUAGCCCUGGACUGGACAGGGCAAGAAGGAUUGGGGUUUUCUGGACACAGAAACAAAGGCAGAGCACACAAAAAUGUUCUCUGCACCAUGCCACUGCUGCUGCGGGAGAGAGGAGGUGUGAUGUCAGCAAUUCAAGACGGUUUUUCCUGCCUCUUCAGUGCCUCUUUUA